rnacentral:rRNA from 1 species
UACGUAGGGGGCGAGCGUUGUCCGGAAUUAUUGGGCGUAAAGAGCUCGUAGGCGGCUUGUCACGUCGGGUGUGAAAGCCCGGGGCUUAACCCCGGGUCUGCAUUCGAUACGGGCUAGCUAGAGUGUGGUAGGGGAGAUCGGAAUUCCUGGUGUAGCGGUGAAAUGCGCAGAUAUCAGGAGGAACACCGGUGGCGAAGGCGGAUCUCUGGGCCAUUACUGACGCUGAGGAGCGAAAGCGUGGGGAGCGAACAGG